rnacentral:rRNA from 1 species
UUCUGCGACGCAGCUAACGCAUUAAGUGCCCCGCNUGGGGAGUACGAUCGCAAGAUUAAAACUCAAAGGAAUUGACGGGGCCCCGCACAAGCAGCGGAGCAUGCGGCUUAAUUCGACGCAACGCGAAGAACCUUACCAAGGCUUGACAUAUAGGGAAAAGUGGCAGAGAUGUCAUGUCCGCAAGGGCUCUAUACAGGUGGUGCAUGGUUGUCGUCAGCUCGUGUCGUGAGAUGUUGGGUUAAGUCCCGCAACGAGCGCAACCCUCGUUCUGUGUUGCCAGCAUUUAGUUGGGGACUCACAGGAGACUGCCGGGGUUAACUCGGAGGAAGGUGGGGAUGACGUCAAAUCAUCAUGCCCCUUAUGUCUUGGGCUGCACGCAUGCUACAAUGGCCGGUACAGAGGGCUGCAAUACCGUAAGGUGGAGCGAAUCCCAAAAAGCCGGUCUCAGUUCGGAUUGAGGUCUGCAACUCGACCUCAUGAAGUUGGAGUUGCUAGUAAUCGUAGAUCAGCAUCGCUACGGUGAAUACGUUCCCGGGGCUUGUACACACCGCCCGUCACGUCACGAAAGUCGGUAACACCCAAAGUCAGUGGCCCAACCGCAAGGGGGGAGCUGCCUAAGGUGGGAUCGGUGAUUGGGAUGAAGUCGUAACAAGGUA